rnacentral:rRNA from 1 species
CCUACGGGGGGCUGCAGUGGGGAAUAUUGGACAAUGGGCGAAAGCCUGAUCCAGCCAUGCCGCGUGUGUGAAGAAGGCCUUCGGGUUGUAAAGCACUUUCAGUUGGGAAGAAAGCCUUUGGCCUAAUACCCUCGAGGAUGGACAUCACCCACAGAAUAAGCACCGGCUAACUCGUGCCAGCAGCCGCGGUAAUACGGAGGGUGCGAGCGUUAAUCGGAAUUACUGGGCGUAAAGCGCGCGUAGGCGGUGUGAUAAGCCGGUUGUGAAAGCCCCGGGCUCAACCUGGGAACGGCAUCCGGAACUGUCAGGCUAGAGUGCAGGAGAGGAUGGUGGAAUUUCCUGUGUAGCGGUGAAAUGCGUAGAGAUCGGGAGGAAUACCAGUGGCGAAGGCGGCCUUCUGGACUGACACUGACGCUGAGGUGCGAAAGCGUGGGUAGCAAACAGGAUUAGAUACCCCUGUAGUC